AUUGAACGCUGGCGGCAUGCCUAACACAUGCAAGUCGAGCGGAUGAAUAGAGCUUUCUCCUGUAUUCAGCUGCGGACGGGUGAGUAAUUCCUACGUAUCUGCCUUGUCUUUGAGGCUAACGUCCCUUCACGGGCCCUAAUACCGCAUCCGUCCUUAUGUUGAAACUGGUGGUUCUUCGGUCCUCACCCUUUCUGCUGUCCCUAGUUCGUAUUAGCUAGUUGGUUUGGUAAAUUCUUACCAAGGCGACUAUCCGUACCUGGUCUGAGAGGACGAUCAGUCACACUGGAACUGAGACACGGACCAGACUCCUACGGGAGGCAGCAGUGGGGAAUAUUGGACAAUGGGCGAAAGCCUGAUGGAGCAAUGCCGCGUGAGUGAAGAAGGUCUUCGGAUUGUAAAGCACUGUAAGUUGGGAGGAAGGGAAGUAAGAUAAAACAUGGAUGUUUUGACGUUACCAAAAGAAAAAGCAACGGCUAACUACGUG
rnacentral:rRNA from 1 species